rnacentral:lncRNA from 1 species
GCUGAGGGCUCUGCACACCUAAAAUACAGAUGCCUGCAGACAUUGAGCAACCCCGCGUGCCCUCAGUGGAAGUCGUGACCCACUCCACACCUGCAACACCAUUUGCAACAACAACAACAGGACCAUAAGCAGAGACAGCAUAAGCCAGCACCGCCUCAACUAUCUGUCUACCACUUCCUCGGAAUGCAGGCUCCAGUGAUGACGAUCAGUGGUGGCGAUGGGAUUAUUGAGGCAGAGUUCAUAUCCUGCAGGCAGACAAGCAAAUAAGGCACGUGAAAUCAUACCCCAUAAUCUAGGUGCCAUCCAAAAAGUAUGUGUUUUGGUCUCGUGCAAGUGAAAGCUCACGUUGGAGGAAUAUGAAGAAGACCGAGGAGGAGGAGGAGGGGUCUGUGGAGAGGGGACGACGGGACAGCUGGACCGUGUGUAAUGUGUCAGUUUGCUUCUGUGCCACUAUUGUGCUGCUGAUGUUGGAAUGCAGGAAAGGCGCUAGUAUAUUGAAUAAGGAGCCAUGUAAAUUCCAGCUGUCAACAUGUGAUCACUCCUUCGGACAAAGAGAGAGCUUUUCUUGGAGCGGACAGGGAUGGAGAAGAAAGCAGUCAUUGUGGGGAUGUGGAGCCGCAAGAGAGAGAGGCUGCUUUAUUCAGGAGAAAUUCAGAGUUAUACCUCAGAAAAGCUACAAAUGAAAGUAAACAUCAAGCAUAAAAAGAAAUAAAAAGGAAAGAAGAAGAAAGAAAAGAAAGAAAGAAAAAGAAAGAAAGAAGGAAAGAAAAGAAAAUGAAAGAGGAGUGAAAAGGCCCUUACAUUCCCAAGGUUCCUGUGACCUAGAAAUGAACUUGUCCUAAGAAUCAGGUCGAAGGCAUUUAUUCAAAGGUUCAGAAGGACUUCAGCUUUCACUAUUCUUAGAAAGAUAAAGUUAGUAUUACACAUGUCAUUAUCAUGUUGGGAUCAAAAUGGAGGACUCACUGGCAUGAAAUGUUUAAAGCAGGAGGUGAAGAUAGAUUUAUGUAAUGCUAAUUUCAGGCAGCUUUCAAGGUUAAUGCUUGUCCACAUUUGCAAUGGCCAACUCCCCUCACCCCAGGACCACGUGGUCAGCUCUGUACUGCUUGCCACUGGCAUCAACCACUUCUGUGACGUGUUGGCUGCAAUUCAACAGUGAAGCAUGCAUAUUCUCUACUUGAGCAUUUGAGGAGCCUGCAGGCAGUGAGGUAUGAUGCAAAUGGAAAAAAAGAAAAACUGUGACCUUGAAACUCACCAUCAUAAGCCAUCUAGGUGUCCUGCUCGGGCUUCCAAAGUGGGCGCUCAGACAGGCCACCCAAACUGCUGACAUCCUUCAUUGACCCUUUCAGAGCAAUUGUGAACCUAAUGACGUUGUUUUUGGGUUUUGGAACUGAACUUUACAGGGAUUGGUUCCAAUCCUGGGUGGUGCUGAGAAAACUCAAGUCUCACCAGAAUUUGGCUGAGACCACCAGACGUGUUUCAUGUGAGGGCCUUUUCCCAUAAUCUGACCAGAAUGGUUUAUGAAUGUUCUGGAGAGCAAAACACAGGUCCCAAAGGCUGAGAAGGGUCACGCCCUGCUCAGCUAGGAGACCACACAGCCAUCCUCCCUCCCUUCUGAGUAUUUAUAGUUAGAAAACCACACCACCCCUCUCGUUCGGAAGCUGAGGGUGAAAGUGGAAAAAGCCAGAAACACGAAUUGCAUCCUACAGCUGAGAAAGCCCCUCUCUUGGAAAAGCUAGAAAAUAAAUAAAUAAAGGGGGAAAUCCAAAUGGGAUUGCUCUUCAAACACACAAAUGAUCUUAUGUUAACAGUUGGGAUUAAACAGCUGUCUCGUGGUUAUGUGAUCAUAACAGAUGCUGUGUGCAAACGUUUCCUGCUAGCUUUGUUUUGGUUAUUGCUGUUUGUGCAGUUCAAUGGGCUGAAUUCAGCUUAAGGGAUACAGAUUUUUAUUAUCCUUCUGUGCUGCACGGGCAGCUUCAUCAUCUCUUUAAGAGGAAAGGGGGCGUGUGUGAGGGAUAGAUGGAGGGAAAUGGAGGGUGGGCUCUCCCAUGUCACAUUGGGAAUGAUGUCAUAUUGCUGAAAUUCCAGCACACUCGUCUUAGGAUCACUUUGCCGUUGAAGUGGUCCCCCGUUCUAUUCUGUUUUGUUUUGGUUUUUUUUUCUCACCUAGGCUGUCCUCAGGUCUAGAGCAGUUUAGGCAUCUGGAACAGAAUUUAUAGAACAUAGAGAACGGUUCUUUUGAUGACUAGCAGCUUACAAUGUGGUAAUGAUCCCUGUUUUGUCUCACUUCCUCCCAUGCCCUCCAGAGGUAAAAUGUACUAGCUCAUUUUUAUUUUCCCUGGAAAUUUCAUUUCACCCUGGGAGCAGGGACCGCCCUAUAUAUGUAAGCCAAGCGACAUGGUGAACUGUCACGAUUUUUUGGAAGUUCAAAUCUGGAAGCCAUUUUGGACUGAAUUAUAUUACUUGUUCAAACCAAAAUAACCUCUUGGCUCAAAUUCCUCAGAGAAUUGCCAUGAUUCAUACACACUUUGCCUACCAACAGAUUUAAUUUCCAUUGCUUAUAUUUUCCAAACAUUUUUUAAUACGAUGUAAAUGGCAGAAGUAAUGUUUCUGGGUUCAGAAAAGGACCUGGCUGCCCUGAGGAGGAGGUAGAGAGAACAAUGUGGGCCGUAUUUAGCCGGUCUGGCAUGGGCUCUGCCUGCGCAUCGUGCACUGCCCCCCCCAAAGACCUCAAUUUUCAUCUAUAAAAAGCUGAUCUUCAUGCACAGAGGCAUGCAUUCACUGGCCAGUAGCUCAUCUCUACUUUUAAAAAUUUUGGAUAGGGGAAGGAGGGGGCAGCUUCCAUUGCUUAAUACCUUACCUUAUGAAUUAUGUCUUUGAGUAAAGCAUCCUACCAGGGCUUAGUCACUCCCCUCUGACUCUUUACUGAAGAGGAGGGUUUAACAAUAUAUAAAUAUAUCUAAGGAACCAAACUUAAAUUGUAAUCUUAUUCUCACUCAAAAAAGGGAUUUAAUGAUUACUCGUCAGAGUUCCCCAGCUCACAGAAUGAAAUUACGCCUUCUCUGAUAAGUUGCCAAAGCAGUAACAUUUCUAUGAUGCUUUAAGUAAAUUUCAAAGCAACUUCCUAUACAUUCAAUGCUUGAUCCUACUCGUAGCUCUUGGAGGUAUUUUCCUGGUCAUACAGAAA